rnacentral:rRNA from 1 species
AAUCAACGCUGGCGGCGUGCCUAACACAUGCAAGUCGAGCGAGAGGGAGUAGCAAUACUCUAGUAAAGCGGCGCACGGGUGAGUAACACGUGGGUAAUCUGCCUCGAAGUGGGGAAUAACACCGGGAAACCGGUGCUAAUACCGCAUAAUCUGACGGGAUCUGCGGAUUUUGUCAGCAAAGGAGCAAUUCGCUUUGAGAGGAGCCCGCGGCUGAUUAGCUAGUUGGUGAGGUAAUGGCUCACCAAGGCAACGAUCAGUAGCCGGUCUGAGAGGACGGUCGGCCACACUGGAACUGAGACACGGUCCAGACUCCUACGGGAGGCAGCAGUGGGGAAUUCUUCGCAAUGGGGGCAACCCUGACGAAGCAACGCCGCGUGGAUGAUGAAGUCUCUUGGGACGUAAAAUCCUUUCGACGGGGACGAAACCGCAAGGUUGACGGUACCCGUAGAAGAAGCCCCGGCUAACUCCGUGCCAGCCGCCGCCGUAAUAC